rnacentral:rRNA from 1 species
CAUAGGUUAAUGAGGCGAACCGGGGGAACUGAAACAUCUAAGUACCCCGAGGAAAAGAAAUCAACCGAGAUUCCCCCAGUAGCGGCGAGCGAACGGGGAGCAGCCCAGAGCCUGAAUCAGUGUGUGUGUUAGUGGAAGCGUCUGGAAAGGCGCGCGAUACAGGGUGACAGCCCCGUACACAAAAAUGCACAUGCUGUGAGCUCGAUGAGUAGGGCGGGACACGUGGUAUCCUGUCUGAAUAUGGGGGGACCAUCCUCCAAGGCUAAAUACUCCUGACUGACCGAUAGUGAACCAGUACCGUGAGGGAAAGGCGAAAAGAACCCCGGCGAGGGGAGUGAAAAAGAACCUGAAACCGUGUACGUACAAGCAGUGGGAGCACGCUUAGGCGUGUGACUGCGUACCUUUUGUAUAAUGGGUCAGCGACUUAUAUUCUGUAGCAAGGUUAACCGAAUAGGGGAGCCGAAGGGAAACCGAGUCUUAACUGGGCGUUAAGUUGCAGGGUAUAGACCCGAAACCCGGUGAUCUAGCCAUGGGCAGGUUGAAGGUUGGGUAACACUAACUGGAGGACCGAACCGACUAAUGUUGAAAAAUUAGCGGAUGACUUGUGGCUGGGGGUGAAAGGCCAAUCAAACCGGGAGAUAGCUGGUUCUCCCCGAAAGCUAUUUAGGUAGCGCCUCGUGAAUUCAUCUCCGGGGGUAGAGCACUGUUUCGGCAAGGGGGUCAUCCCGACUUACCAACCCGAUGCAAACUGCGAAUACCGGAGAAUGUUAUCACGGGAGACACACGGCGGGUGCUAACGUCCGUCGUGAAGAGGGAAACAACCCAGACCGCCAGCUAAGGUCCCAAAGUCAUGGUUAAGUGGGAAACGAUGUGGGAAGGCCCAGACAGCCAGGAUGUUGGCUUAGAAGCAGCCAUCAUUUAAAGAAAGCGUAAUAGCUCACUGGUCGAGUCGGCCUGCGCGGAAGAUGUAACGGGGCUAAACCAUGCACCGAAGCUGCGGCAGCGACGCUGAUGCGUUGUUGGGUAGGGGAGCGUUCUGUAAGCCUGCGA